CAAAGAUGCUCAGGGGAGUCGCCUGCUUCAUUCUUAGCUGCAGCACUUUGUGGAGAGGAUCUAUAACUUCUUUGCUGCAAAUGCUUCAUGAAAGAUCUUCAGACAGGUAACCAGAACAAAGAGACCCCUGCCUUGGGCAGGCGCUGUCAGGUGGGGGUUCACAGACACACUUCUGAGGACCCAACACCUUCCCAAGCGGCCUGCACCUUUGCACUGGUACUGCAAUUCUCGAUCUGCCUUGAGACAGAAGUGCAGCAGCCAUGCUCCGGGAAAAAGAAAAGAAGAAGAAAAGAACACACACACACACAGGGAUAUACUUGAAACACGUCCAAAUUAUUUGGAGCCCUGCCCAGUUGGCUGCAUGUCAGAAUCACCCCCUCUCUUAACCUUAAAUGGAAAGUAAGCGUGGCCCUUUCUUCCCCCGCCAAGAGACCCAUGAUUGCU